rnacentral:rRNA from 1 species
UUGAUAGUACCCUUACUACUUGGAUAACCCGUGGUAAUUCUAGAGCUAAUACAUGCUAAAAACCCCAACUUCGGGAGGGGUGUAUUUAUUAGAUAAAAAACCAAUGCCCUUCGGGGCUCCUUGGUGAUUCAUGAUAACUUCUCAGAUCGCAUGGCUUUACGCCGGCGACGGUUCAUUCAAAUUUCUGCCCUAUCAACUUUCGAUGGUAAGGUAUUGGCUUACCAUGGUUUCAACGGGUAACGGGGAAUUAGGGUUCGAUUCCGGAGAGGGAGCCUGAGAAACGGCUACCACAUCCAAGGAAGGCAGCAGGCGCGCAAAUUACCCAAUUCCGAUACGGAGAGGUAGUGACAAUAAAUACUGAUACAGGGCUCUUUUGGGUCUUGUAAUUGGAAUGAGUACAAUUUAAACCUCUUAACGAGGAACAAUUGGAGGGCAAGUCUGGUGCCAGCAGCCGCGGUAAUUCCAGCUCCAAUAGCGUAUAUUAAAGUUGUUGCAGUUAAAAAGCUCGUAGUUGAACCUUUGGCCUGGCUGGCAGGUCCGCCUCACCGCGUGCACUUGUCCGGCCGGGCCUUUUCUUCUGGAGAACCGCAUGCCCUUCACUGGGUGUGUUGGGGACCAGGACUUUUACUUUGAAAAAAUUAGAGUGUUCAAAGCAGGCCUUUGCUCGAAUACGUUAGCAUGGAAUAAUAGAAUAGGACGUGCGGUCCUAUUUUGUUGGUUUCUAGGACCGCCGUAAUGAUUAAUAGGGACAGUCGGGGGCAUCAGUAUUCAAUUGUCAGAGGUGAAAUUCUUGGAUUUAUUGAAGACUAACUACUGCGAAAGCAUUUGCCAAGGAUGUUUUCAUUAAUCAGUGAACGAAAGUUAGGGGAUCGAAGACGAUCAGAUACCGUCGUAGUCUUAACCAUAAACUAUGCCGACUAGGGAUCGG